AAAGCAACAACCACUAACCCUUUGUCAUCAAUAGUGACCCCCACAUCAGAUUCAUUCCAUUUUGAAAACAUUGCACCAUCCACAUUAACCUUGUACUGUGAACCCGAUGGAGGAGACCACCUCCCAACCAGGUCUGAAGAAGGCGUAGGAGGGACAACAUUAGCUGCUUGAUACUCUUGAAGAUACUACUUAGCCCACUGCACCAGUUCCCACUCUCUAAAAUGCUAUAAUGCUAUAUUUUAGCUCCAUUAUCCCUAAAAUGAUGUUCCAGCAGUGGAGCAAUAGCAAAAAAUUUUAGAUGAAUUGCUAUAGUGCACAUCUAUCUAUAGAUGUGCACUGUAGCUUGAAGCAAAAAAAAAAAAAAAACAAUAUUUUCUUCAGUCGGACCUCAUUGUUUCUAUUUUUUAUUCAUUUCAUCAAAUCCGGUCAUUCAUUCACUCUCAUUCUCACUCACUCUCUCUCGUUCAUCUCUCAUUCCUCUCAAGCUCCACUCUCUCAACGUCGCCGCCAUCGUCAAGCUCACUCCGCCUCUCAAGCUCACUCUCUCGAUGUCGCCGGCCCGACCAUCGUCAACGUCACCGCCAUCGUCAAGUUCACUCCGGUCUCUCAAGCUCACUCUCUCAACGUCGCCUGCCCGACCAUCGUCAACGUCGCCGCCAUUGUCAAGUUCAGACCCACGCCGCCGAUUUGCCUCAGACGCACUUCUCUUUCGUCGAUCCACUUCAGGGAAGUUUACUUUUUUUUUCUUUCUAAUUUUAUGGAGCCACGUCGAUGGCGGCGGUGGCGGCGGCGGUAGAAGAGUCGAUGGCGGUGGCGGUGGUAGAUGUGGCGGUUACAGGUGGUUGUGAUUGUUGUUGUUGUGAUUGUUGUUUAUUGUAAUAGAUAUAUUAUUUUAUUAUAGUGGAUAUAUUAUUUUAUUGUGA